rnacentral:miRNA from 1 species
GCUUUUCUGGGAGGUGGGAGAAGGGACUGACGGGCUGCCCUCCAUCCCUUCUCCCACCUCCCGGAAAAGC